UAGAUGCGAGAGUAGAGCAUAUCAAUAAGCGGAGGAAAAGAAACUAACAAGGAUUCCCUUAGUAACGGCGAGUGAAGCGGGAAGAGCUCAAAUUUGAAAUCUUCAAGGUUCUACCUUGACGAAUUGUAGUUUAUAGAAGUGUUUUCUGUUAGUGGAGUGGCAAAAGUUCUUUGGAAUAGGACAUCAUAGAGGGUGAGAAUCCCGUAUUUGGUCAUUCCUCCUAGCGUUGUGAUACACUUUCAACGAGUCGGAUUGUUUGGGAAUGCAGUCCAAAAUGGGUGGUAAAUUUCAUCUAAAGCUAAAUAUUGGCGAGAGACCGAUAGCGAACAAGUACCGUGAGGGAAAGAUGAAAAGAACUUUGAAAAGAGAGUUAAACAGUACGUGAAAUUGUCAAAAGGGAAGCGUUUGACACCAGUGUUGUUUUUCCGAAAAUCAAUUACGAAUGUAUCUGUUUUUGAGGAGUUAUGACUUCAUCGGCUUGCUUCUCUCUUUACGAAACUUUCUUAAUGCACUUUUCGGUUAACAAGUCAACAUCAAUUUCUUUUGUUGUAAAAGGGUACUGAGGAAGGUGGCUUUCUUUUCGGAGAAAGUGUUUAUAGCCUUGUAGCCUCUGCAAUCGGAGAGAUUGAGGUCUGCAGCGUAGAUCCUUCGGGGUUAGAUACAGUUUGUGCUAAGUUAUAGCUUUUCAUAGACAACUUGUUGACUAUGUUUAGUCUUGUAGCUUACUCGCUUAUGCUAUUUUACCUACGCUUAGGAUGUUGACACACGCGCGUGCUCG
rnacentral:rRNA from 1 species